rnacentral:rRNA from 1 species
GUAACAGGGUAGCAAUACCGCUGACGACCGGCGCACGGGUGAGUAUCGCGUAUGCAACCUACCUUUAACUGGGGAAUAGCUUCGAGAAAUCGGAAUUAAUACCCCAUAACAUUUCAGAAAGGCAUCUUUCAGAAAUUAAAGCUCCGGCGGUUAAAGAUGGGCAUGCGUAACAUUAGCUUGUUGGUGAGGUAACGGCUCACCAAGGCAACGAUGUUUAGGGGGUCUUAAAGGAUGAUCCCCCACACUGGUACUGAGACACGGACCAGACUCCUACGGGAGGCAGCAGUGAGGAAUAUUGGUCAAUGGACGCAAGUCUGAACCAGCCAUGCCGCGUGCAGGAUGACGGCCUUACAGGUUGUAAACUGCUUUUAUACGGGAAGAAACCCCUGAACGUGUUCGGGGCUGACGGUACUGUAUGAAUAAGCAUCGGCUAACUCCGCGCCAGCAGCCGCGGUAAUACGGAGGAUGCAAGCGUUAUCCGGAUUUAUUAGGUUUAAAGGGUGCGUAGGCGGAAUAUUAAGUCAGUGGUGAAAUCCUGCAGCUUAACUGUAGAACUGCCAUUGAAACUGAUAUUCUUGAGUCUAGUUGAGGUGGGCGGAAUGUGUCAUGUAGCGGUGAAAUGCAUAGAUAUGACACAGAACACCGAUUGCGUGGGCAGCUCACUAAGCUAUAACUGACGCUGAGGCACGAAAGCGUGGGGAUCAAACAGGAUUAGAUACCCUGGUAGUCCACGCUGUAGACGAUGAUUACUCGAUGUAUGCGAUAUACAGUAUGCGUCUGAGCGAAAGCAUUAAGUAAUCCACCUGGGGAGUACGAUCGCAAGAUUGAAACUCAAAGGAAUUGACGGGGGCCCGCACAAGCGGAGGAACAUGUGGUUUAAUUCGAUGUUACGCGAGGAACCUUACCUGGGCUUAAAUGCAGUAUGACUUUCCUGGAAACAGGAUUUCUCUUCGGAGCAAAUUGCAAGGUGCUGCAUGGUUGUCGUCAGCUCGUGCCGUGAGGUGUCGGGUUAAGUCCCAUAACGAGCGCAACCCCUAUUAUUAGUUGCCAGCGGAUAAUGCCGGGGACUCUAAUAAGACUGCCAGUGUAAACUGUGAGGAAGGUGGGGAUGACGUCAAAUCAGCACGGCCCUUACGUCCAGGGCUACACACGUGUUACAAUGGCCGGUACAAAGAGCAGCUACUUAGUGAUAAGAUGCUAAUCUCAAAAACCGGUCUCAGUUCGGAUCGAAGUCUGCAAUUCGACUUCGUGAAGCUGGAUUCGCUAGUAAUCGUAGAUCAGCAAUGCUACGGUGAAUACGUUCCCGGGCCUUGUACACACCGCCCGUCAAGCCAUGGAAGCUGGGGGUACCUAAAGUUCGUAACCGUAAGGAGCGACCUAGGGUAAAACUAGUGACUGGGGCUAAGUCGUAACAAGGUA